rnacentral:rRNA from 1 species
UACGGGGGGGGCAAGCGGUUGUUCGGAAUUACUGGGCGUAAAGGGCUCGUAGGUGGCCAACUAAGUCAGACGUGAAAUCCCUCGGCUUAACCGGGGAACUGCGUCUGAUACUGGAUGGCUUGAGUUUGGGAGAGGGACGCGGAAUUCCAGGUGUAGCGGUGAAAUGCGUAGAUAUCUGGAGGAACACCGGUGGCGGAAGGCGGCGUCCUGGACC